rnacentral:rRNA from 1 species
CUACGGGGGGCUGCAGUGGGGAAUAUUGGACAAUGGGGGAAACCCUGAUCCAGCAAUGCCGCGUGUGUGAAGAAGGCCUGCGGGUUGUAAAGCACUUUCGGUUGGGAGGACUGCUUCUAGCACUAAUAUUGUUGGAAGUUGACGUUACCUUCAGAAGAAGCACCGGCUAACUCCGUGCCAGCAGCCGCGGUAAUACGGAGGGUGUAAGCGUUAAUCGGAAUUACUGGGCGUAAAGCGCGCGUAGGCGGCUAGAUCAGUCGGGUGUGAAAGCCCCGGGCUUAACCUGGGAACUGCAUCCGAUACUGUCUAGCUUGAGUACAUGCGAGGAGAGUGGAAUUCCACAUGUAGCGGUGAAAUGCGUAGAUAUGUGGAGGAACACCAAUGGCGAAGGCAGCUCUCUGGCCUGAUACUGACGCUGAGGUGCGAAAGCGUGGGGAGCAAACAGGAUUAGAUACCCGGGUAGUC